AUUAGAGUUUGAUCCUGGCUCAGAUUGAACGCUGGCGGCAGGCCUAACACAUGCAAGUCGAGCGGUAGCACAGAGAGCUUGCUCUCGGGUGACGAGCGGCGGACGGGUGAGUAAUGUCUGGGAAACUGCCUGAUGGAGGGGGAUAACUACUGGAAACGGUAGCUAAUACCGCAUAAUGUCGCAAGACCAAAGUGGGGGACCUUCGGGCCUCAUGCCAUCAGAUGUGCCCAGAUGGGAUUAGCUAGUAGGUGGGGUAACGGCUCACCUAGGCGACGAUCCCUAGCUGGUCUGAGAGGAUGACCAGCCACACUGGAACUGAGACACGGUCCAGACUCCUACGGGAGGCAGCAGUGGGGAAUAUUGCACAAUGGGCGCAAGCCUGAUGCAGCCAUGCCGCGUGUGUGAAGAAGGCCUUCGGGUUGUAAAGCACUUUCAGCGGGGAGGAAGGCGGUGAGGUUAAUAACCUCACCGAUUGACGUUACCCGCAGAAGAAGCACCGGCUAACUCCGUGCCAGCAGCCGCGGUAAUACGGAGGGUGCAAGCGUUAAUCGGAAUUACUGGGCGUAAAGCGCACGCAGGCGGUCUGUCAAGUCGGAUGUGAAAUCCCCGGGCUCAACCUGGGAACUGCAUUCGAAACUGGCAGGCUAGAGUCUUGUAGAGGGGGGUAGAAUUCCAGGUGUAGCGGUGAAAUGCGUAGAGAUCUGGAGGAAUACCGGUGGCGAAGGCGGCCCCCUGGACAAAGACUGACGCUCAGGUGCGAAAGCGUGGGGAGCAAACAGGAUUAGAUACCCUGGUAGUCCACGCUGUAAACGAUGUCGAUUUGGAGGUUGUGCCCUUGAGGCGUGGCUUCCGGAGCUAACGCGUUAAAUCGACCGCCUGGGGAGUACGGCCGCAAGGUUAAAACUCAAAUGAAUUGACGGGGGCCCGCACAAGCGGUGGAGCAUGUGGUUUAAUUCGAUGCAACGCGAAGAACCUUACCUGGUCUUGACAUCCACAGAACUUAGCAGAGAUGCUUUGGUGCCUUCGGGAACUGUGAGACAGGUGCUGCAUGGCUGUCGUCAGCUCGUGUUGUGAAAUGUUGGGUUAAGUCCCGCAACGAGCGCAACCCUUAUCCUUUGUUGCCAGCGGUCCGGCCGGGAACUCAAAGGAGACUGCCAGUGAUAAACUGGAGGAAGGUGGGGAUGACGUCAAGUCAUCAUGGCCCUUACGACCAGGGCUACACACGUGCUACAAUGGCAUAUACAAAGAGAAGCGACCUCGCGAGAGCAAGCGGACCUCAUAAAGUAUGUCGUAGUCCGGAUUGGAGUCUGCAACUCGACUCCAUGAAGUCGGAAUCGCUAGUAAUCGUAGAUCAGAAUGCUACGGUGAAUACGUUCCCGGGCCUUGUACACACCGCCCGUCACACCAUGGGAGUGGGUUGCAAAAGAAGUAGGUAGCUUAACCUUCGGGAGGGCGCUUACCACUUUGUGAUUCAUGACUGGGGUGAAGUCGUAACAAGGUAACCGUAGGGGAACCUGCGGCUGGAUCACCUCCUAAUCG
rnacentral:rRNA from 1 species